rnacentral:rRNA from 1 species
ACGCUCGACACCUACGGGGGGCAGCAGUCGGGAAUAUUGCGCAAUGGAGGAAACUCUGACGCAGUGACGCCGCGUGCAGGAAGAAGGUUUUCGGAUUGUAAACUGCUUUAGACAGGGAAGAAAAGGGACAGUACCUGUAGAAUAAGCUCCGGCUAACUACGUGCCAGCAGCUGCGGUAAUCUGAGCGGGCUGGCAAGGC